rnacentral:rRNA from 1 species
UAGGGAAUCUUCCGCAAUGGACGCAAGUCUGACGGAGCAACGCCGCGUGAGUGAAGAAGGAUUUCGGUUCGUAAAACUCUGUUGUUAGAGAAGAACAGCGCAUAGAGUAACUGUUAUGCGUGUGACGGUAUCUAACCAGAAAGGGACGGCUAACUACGUGCCAGCAGCCGCGGUAAUACGUAGGUCCCGAGCGUUGUCCGGAUUUAUUGGGCGUAAAGCGAGCGCAGGCGGUCAAUUAAGUCUGAUGUGAAAGCCCCCGGCUCAACCGGGGAGGGUCAUUGGAAACUGGUUGACUUGAGUGCAGAAGAGGAGAGUGGAAUUCCAUGUGUAGCGGUGAAAUGCGUAGAUAUAUGGAGGAACACCAGUGGCGAAGGCGACUCUCUGGUCUGUAACUGACGCUGAGGCUCGAAAGCGUGGGUAGCAAACAGG